CGCCUGUUUAUCCAAAAACAUAGCUUGUUGGUUUUUAUGACAGGUAUUUUCUGCCCGGUGAAGUAAUUAAACGGCCGCGGUACUCUGACCGUGCAAAGGUAGCAUAAUCACUUGCCCUUUAAUUGGGGGCUAGAAUGAAGGAAAUGUUGAGAGCAAAGCUGUCUCUUUUGUGGAAGUGGAAUUUGCUUACUCUGUGAAGAAGCAGGCAUGAAUAAAAAAGACAAGAAGACCCUAUUAAGCUUUUAUUUCUUGGUUUUUGUUUUUUUCCUUAAAAGAAAAAAAAACAAAACCGGUAAAAUUUGGUUGGGGUGACUAAAAAGGAUUUUUAUCCUCUUUUUACAGAGAAACUUUUGUGUUUAAUGUUGAUCCAGAGUUUUUGAUUGAAAGAAUUAGUUACUAUAGGGAUAACAGCGUAAUUUUUCCAGAAAGUUCUUAUUGAAGGAAAAGAUUGCGACCUCGAUGUUGACUUGUUGUUUCCUUAUA
rnacentral:rRNA from 1 species